AUACGUAGGGGGCGAGCGUUGUCCGGAAUGAUUGGGCGUAAAGGGCGCGUAGGCGGCGCGGUAAGUCUGGAGUGAAAGUCCUGCUUUCAAGAUGGGAAUUGCUUUGGAUACUGGGGGGCUUGAGUGCAGGAGAGGUUAUCGGAAUUCCCGGUGUAGCGGUGAAGUGCGUAGAGAUCGGGAGGAACACCAGUGGCGAAGGCGGGUAACUGGACUGCAACUGACGCUGAGGCGCGAAAGUGUGGGGAGCAAACAGGAUUAGAUACCCUGGUAGUCCACACUGUAAACGAUGAAUGCUAGGUGUAAGAGGUAUCGACCCCUUUUGUGCCGGAGUCAACACAAUAAGCAUUCCGCCUGGGGAGUGCGGUCGCAAGGCUGAAACUCAAAUGAAUUGGCGGGG
rnacentral:rRNA from 1 species